rnacentral:rRNA from 1 species
AACCGGUGACGAGGUGCUGCAUGGCUGUCGUCAGCUCGUGUCGUGAGAUGUUGGGUUAAGUCCCGCAACGAGCGCAACCCUCGCCUUUAGUUGCCAGCAUUCAGUUGGGCACUCUAGAGGGACUGCCGGUGUCAAACCGGAGGAAGGUGGGAUGACGUCAAGUCCUCAUGGCCUUUAUGUCUAGGGCUACACACGUACUACAAUGGCCGGUACAAAGGGCAGCCACUCAGCGAUGAGGCGCUAAUCCCAUAAAGCCGGUCUCAGUCCGGAUCGCAGUCUGCAACUCGACUGCGUGAAGUUGGAAUCGCUAGUAAUCGUAGAUCAGCAUGCCUACGGUCGAAUACGUUCCGGCCUU